UGAUUCCUACAAUGUUAAUGCACAUGAUAUCAUAGGAACUCCGCAGUGAAGCACACUUUGGCUAGAGUAGUAGUUGGAUGGGUGACCCCCGAGAAGUAUGCCUAUGGAAUUUU
rfam:Picea glauca, whole genome shotgun sequence.